rnacentral:tmRNA from 1 species
GGGGACGAUUUGGCUUCGACAAAAAUUGGUUAAGAUUGUGUAACAUGUUGAGUGGGAACUCAUAAAAUAUCCAUUUAAAUUUAAACGCAAACAAUACAAAUUAUCGUCCGGUAGCUCUCGCGGCUGCUUAAUCCCUAACAAGGGUGGACAAUCGAUUAAUCUAAAUGCCAUUAUUUAGUUAAUCGGUUUCAUCAAUUUUUAAAUGGCUAGGUAAGUUGUUUGCUCAGACAAUUUACUGAAACUUUUGAGCUAGAUUUUAAAGAUUUGACAGUUUACUUUAUAAAUCGAAUUUUUUAAACUGUUCAAAAGCAUGUAUAGAAGCACUUUCAAGACCGUUUUUGGACUCGGGUUCGAUUCCCGACGUCUCCACCA